AAAAGACAAUGAUUUGUCAAUUCUUACAAAAUGUCUUCUAUAGAUAUAGAUGCAGAUAGAAAUUCAAAAACUUUUUUUUUCAUCUUUCAUCAGAUUUUUGAAAAUUUAUAAAUAUUAAAUUUGUCAGAAAUAUAUGGAUUUAUAUUCUAUGUCUUCUUUGAUAUCAAAAACAGUUUUUUCAAGUUUUCUUACCAAUAUUAUCAUUGAAUUGAAAGAAAUAUAUGCCUUUUGUUUCAUUGUUUGUUGUCUACACAAAAGUUAAAGGUGAUGGUUUGCUUAUUUUGUUCUUCAGUUUAUAAUAUAAGUUAUAAGUGAUCUUCCUGUUUGUUGCAUGUAGUGAUUGCUUCUGUUUCCCACAAAAUUACUUUAUCAGCCUAUGGGCAUGUACAAGUACAUGGACUAGUGUAUAUUGAGAAAUUUUCCAAGCAUGUAAUUGUUAAAAUAAUAUUGUCAUUCUACUAUGAGGCAACUUUAAAAAGAUCUUCUUUUAUUUUUGUCAGAAAAGGUGAAAUAACUAGUGUGUAACAAUUCUAUAAUCAAUAAUGUCUCAUUUUAAGUAAUCUAAAUAUCGAACGGAAUAACAAGGA
rnacentral:lncRNA from 1 species